rnacentral:rRNA from 1 species
AACGAACGCUGGCGGCAGGCCUAACACAUGCAAGUCGAACGCCGUAGCAAUACGGAGUGGCAGACGGGUGAGUAACGCGUGGGAACGUACCCUUUGGUUCGGAAUAACUCAGGGAAACUUGAGCUAAUACCGGAUACGCCUUACGGGAAGAUUUAUUGCCGAAGGAUCGGCCCGCGUCUGAUUAGCUUGUUGGUGAGGUAACGGCUCACCAAGGCGACGAUCAGUAGCUGGUCUGAGAGGANGAUCAGCCACAUUGGGACUGAGACACGGCCCAAACUCCUACGGGAGGCAGCAGUGGGGAAUAUUGGACAAUGGGCGCAAGCCUGAUCCAGCCAUGCCGCGUGAGUGAUGAAGGCCUUAGGGUUGUAAAGCUCUUUUGCCCGGGAAGAUAAUGAC